CCUGCAGGGAGCGUAGACGGAUGCAAUUAAAUACGCUUUGGUUACAAAUCAAAUGUUUCUGUUGCAAAAAAAAAAAAAAAGAUCAAUCAAAUGUUUCUGUUACCAAAAAAAAGAUAACAAAUGAAAUGUUUCUGUUGCCAAAAAAGAUAAAUCAAACGUUUGUGUUGCAAAAAAGAUAAAUCAAAUGUUUCUGUUGCAAAAAAAAGAUCAAAUAAACAUCAACUGUCUCAGCUCGUGGAACCGGAAGCAACGUUGUUGUCCCCGAGAACACGCUUUCCUGACCAUUUGUCACGUCGGCCUUGAUUGGUGCCCUGAAAAUGCAAGUCGCUUUCUGCGGAGGCUUCAUGGGGAUUAUUCGAAUCUCGGGGUUCUUGGAAGGCGCUGCAGCCCGGGAGACAAGGAGGCCCCGAGGGGCACAGGGGAAUUCUGGGGAGCGCGUCCUGCUGCCUUCAAGGUCGUCUCAAGGUCACAGAGCUCACGCGGACCCCUCGUCCCCGCCACAGAGGAAAAGGAGGGAAAAUGCGAUUCUCUGCUUUUCUCCAGGGCGUCAGCAAAUCCUCCCGCCGGGGGCUGGAGAAAAAGCAAAGCCCCCUUUCCACGCGCAAGACGUCUGUCCGUCUGUCCGGGCCCGGGCUGCAUCCUUUGCUGUGAUGGGUCAGGCUCUCCAACUUCAUCCCGGGAAACGGUCCACGAGCUCGUCUGAUGGAUAAUUGAUCCCGAGACACCCGGACUGGGGCAGAAGGCCAGAGGGAUGCCCUGGGACUGACUCAUUUAAAAAAAAUUAAAAAAAAAAUUAAAAAAGAGAGAGACAUCGCUUUGAAGAAUUCGGGAUCAUUUUUGCAAAAAUAAAUUCAGCCUUUUUGAUAUAAAGAUCAAUGCGAGGCGCUGGGAACGGGCAAGUCGAGCCUCCGAAAUAUUGCAAUAUGAAAUGCAAAUAUAGCCAAAGUAAACGGAAAUGACUUUAAAUUGAUCCCGUCUUCUCGCCGGUAAGUAUGGCGGAGCGAGGAGGCAAGUGUGCGCGUUGAGCGGCCUCCUCCAGGAAGCCCUCCUCUCCAUCCUUGAUUCAGGGCCGCCUCCUCCAGGAAGCCCUCCUCUCCAUCCUUGAUUCAGGGCCGC
rnacentral:lncRNA from 1 species